ensembl:rRNA 5S_rRNA 5S ribosomal RNA
GCUUACGGCCAUACCAACCUGGCUAUGCCCGAUCUCGUCUGAUCUCCGAAGCUAAGCAGGUUUGGGCCUGGUUAGUACUUGGAUGGGAGACCGCCUGGGAAUACCAGGUGCUGUAAGCU